GGGCCCGCACAAGCAGCGGAGCAUGUGGUUUAAUUCGAAGCAACGCGAAGAACCUUACCAGGUCUUGACAUCGAGGCAAAGCCGUAGAGAUACGGUGUUCAGCAAUGAAGCCGAAGACAGGUGGUGCAUGGUUGUCGUCAGCUCGUGUCGUGAGAUGUUGGGUUAAGUCCCGCAACGAGCGCAACCCUUAUUGUCAGUUACUAACGGGUAAAGCCGAGGACUCUGACGAGACUGCCGGGGACAACUCGGAGGAAGGUGGGGACGACGUCAAAUCAUCAUGCCCCUUAUGACCUGGGCUACACACGUGCUACAAUGGUGGUAACAAAGAGACGCGAGCUCGUAAGGGGGAGCGAAUCUCAUAAAAGCCAUCUCAGUUCGGAUUGUGGGCUGCAACCCGCCCACAUGAAGUUGGAGUUGCUAGUAAUCGCGGAUCAGCAUGCCGCGGUGAAUACGUUCCCGGGCCUUGUACACACCGCCCGUCACACCAUGGGAGUCGGGAGCACCCGAAGUCGGCGAGGUAACCGCAAGGAGCCAGCCGCCGAAGGUGAGAUCGAUGACUGGGGUGAAGUCGUAACAAGGUAGCCGUAUCGGAAGGUGCGGCU
rnacentral:rRNA from 1 species